CGAGCCGGCCGGCCGCCAGGCUCUGCUUGAGCCCUCCGGGUCAGCCCUGCCCCUCUCCGUCGAGCCCCGCCCCCGCCGGCCACGCGCUGCUCAGCAGAGCCGCGCGGCGGCGGGACUUAUUUGGUGCUGCGCGGUCUGUGAGCUGCGGUCGCGCUCGGUUCGUCUCGCUGCUGGGGGCCUGGCUGGACGCGAUCUUUAACUUUGAGGCGCGAGUGCCCAAGUCCUUCCGAUGACUCCGGGGACGUUGCCUCAUGUCCUACAGCGCCAGAGGCCUGGCGGGGUCGUCGACCCUGGUCUGCUGGACAACGGGGACAGCGAGGUCCCUGGCGUCGCCGGAUCCUGCUCGCCGGACCCUGCUCCGGAGUGGCACGUCCGACCGGCGGUGUGCAGAGCAGCCCGCAGGGUCCCCAGGUCCCCCAGGCCCGACAGCAGCUCGCCACGGCGGAGAUGAGGUGUACGGGGGGGGGGGGCGCUUUUUGCUGCCAUGCUGUCUGUCUUGCUAAUGAAUGAAUGGAUCUUGAGAUCCAAGACAACUGAUUACCCCCAACCAUCUCAGUCCCGUUUUACGACCGCACCUCCAUUCUUCCCUGCCAAGAACCCGGAGUCAGCCUGGCGUGGUGGCGCACACCUGGAAUCCCAGGACUUGGGAGGCUGAGGCAGGAGGAUCGCCACGAGUUCCAGGCCAGCCAGGGCUACAUAGUUCAAGGGCAGCCUGAACUACAUAGCGAGACCCUGUCUCAAAACAAAAAAAGAACCCAAAGUCGUCCUGUCCGCCCCGUCUUAGUUUCUUGAGCUGAUCCGGAGUCCGGCCCCGCGAUGACCCCGGGGCUGCCCAGCCGACACCCCCACCCUGCGCCCUGGUUCACGGCCACAUCCUCCUCCCGGAGUGCGGGUCCUCACCGGUCCUGGUCCACGCCUUGCCAGAGUGCUUUGUAAAAUGAGCAUGUGACUGGGUCAUUUGUGUUUAGCAAAGUCCCAUAGCGCCCUGUUUCUCUUAGGAUGAAAUUUAGCGCACAGGAAAAGAGAAUGUUAGACUUAUACCUGAUAUUUUUAGCAAGAGAAGCCAAAAGGCAGUAGGAUAACAUCAAACGCCUGGAGAGAAAAUAAUCAUCAUCCUAGAAUUAGGUAUCCAGUGAAAAGAUCUUUCAAGAACUGUGUAUCCACUGAAAAUAUCUUUGUAGAAUGAGAGUGAAAUAAUGACAUUCACAAAUACAAACACUAAGACUUUGUCCCUCCCUAAGGGGAAUUCCAACGGAGGAAUUUCGGGGAUGGAGGAAGAUGAUCAGACUGAGGUCUGUUGCAAUACGGAAGAAAAAACAAUGAAGACCAUUGAUAAUAUAAAAUAGCAACUGUCUUCUGGAUAAAAAUAGAAUUAAAAUACGCAAUAGUCGUGGCAUAUAAACUUGACUGGGUGGAGGUACCGCGUUCUAAGACCUGACAUUCUUCAGAAAGAAAGUGAAGAUAGGGGCGGAGAUUUAGCUCAGUGGAAGGAACCGCGCCUGCCUGAAAGCCCAAGGUCCUGAGUUCAAUCCCCGGUUCCAAAAAAAAAGAAAGAAAGAAAGUGAAGACGGCUGAGCUGAAAAUCCAAGUUGCCAUCACUAAGAAAAACAGAGAAUGGGAAUACAGUGUGUGAUAUUUAUCUAAAUUAUUGGAAUAAAAAAAACCAACCCAAGCAAUCCUGAGGCCAGCAGGAAAAAAUAAAUACAACUGGUGGGACAAAAAGAUGAUAGGUAUUCACUCAAAGAUUCUGUAAUUGAGUCCUCCCUUCCAAGAUGACCAAAAAAAGAAGGAACAACAGUCGUGCCAAAAAUGGCCGCGGCUGUGUGCAGCCUGUUCGCUGCACGAACUGCGCCCGGUGCGUGCCCAAGGAUAAGGCCAUUAAGUCCCUCAUUCGAAACAUGGUAGAGGCCACCACGUCAGGGACAUUUCCAAAGCGAGUGUCUUCGACUCUCAUGUGCUUCCCAAGGUCUAUGUGAAGCCGCAUUAUGGUGUGAGUUGUGCCAUUCACAGCAAGGUGGUCAGGAAUCGAUCCCCUGAAGCCCGGAAGGACCUAACACCUCCGCCCCGAUUUAGACCUGCUGGUGCUGCCCCACGACCCCCACUAAAGCCCAUGUAAAGACCUGAGUUUUAAUGGACUGAAGAAAAGUCGUCUCCGGGCAGAGGGAAUGAACUAAUAAAAUGGACGUUAUACUUUAAAAUAAAAAACGAAACCAUGAGCUCUCUAUCAAAAGACUAUAUAGUGAACUGAGAAGCAAAAUAUUUUAAACUCUCAUAAAUUGACAAAGUAGGCCAGGUGUGGUGGCACACGCCUGUAACCCAGGCUACUGGAGAGGCUGAGGGAGGAGGAUCACAAGUUUGGGGUCCACCCGGGCAACUUAGCAAGACCCUGUAUCAAAAAUAAAGUCUGGGGCCGGGGAUUUAGCUCAGUGGUGCCACCGCGUGCCUUGCAAGCGCAAGGUCCCAAGUUCAAUCCCCGGUACCAAAAAAAAAACCCCCAAAAUAAAGACAGUCUUGGGUGGUAGAUCAGUGGUACAGAGCUUUCCUGGCCUGUGUGAUCCCUGGAUUUACUCCCCAGUACUGCAAAAUAAGUAAAUACAAGAGCUGAUCAAAAAUACACUGUGCAGGGCCGGGUAUUUAGCUCGGUGACACCGUGCCUGCCGCACAAGUGCAAGGUCCUGAGUUUGAUCCCUAGUACCAAAAAAAAAAAAAAAAAAAAAAAAAUACACUGUGCAUUUAAAUUUUUUAAAAAUUUGUGUUUAUGAGGUGUGAUCAAAAACAUGGUGAAUUCUGCUGCUGUCAGGUGCCAUCUGACGUAAAGGCAAGCUCAUAAAAAUAUUACAGCA
ensembl:lncRNA